rnacentral:lncRNA from 1 species
CAAUAAAAUUUGAAGAUGUGAUUUUACCACACCUUCAUUCAUAUUAAUGUUUCGUGUUUUCUCGUUUCUAGGUUUACCAUUGAUACCUGUUAUUGUGCUAGUUUCAAUCAAUCCAGACUACUAUUCCAACGAAUAUUUCUGCUACAUUUCAAAAACGGAAGUUAUUACAUACGGUGUGAUUUUGCCAGCCAGCAUAGUUGUUUUCUGUAAUACCGUCUUUUUUAUACUCAUCAUUUACCGAUUAUAUUUUACCCUUUCGAAAAUGAGUGGGGCCAAGACUCAGGAUACGUCAUCAGGAAUCAAAACCCGACUGACAAAUGCCAUUGCUAUAUCAACACUACUCGGCUUAACUUGGAUCUUCGGAUUCCUCUCGUUCGGAGGUGAUCGAAUUGUGAUGUCUAUACUCUUCUGUGUUCUAAAUCCUCUUCAGGGGUUGGCGAUAUUUCUCCUGUUCGUUCUGCGACGGAAGGAGAGCAAGGAGAAGUGGAGAAGUGUCUGGAGAUCGUGUUACUCCCGCUUUCCGAGGUGUCAGUGGCCUGGCAGAUCACAGGCCUACGAGGUUACGUCAGACACCUCACAUGAUGUAACUACAAACGAUUUGUCUGUGUCGUUCUCGAAAGUUAAUGAUAUGUAGUUUUAGAUUCACAGUGUUUUGUGCUUAGGCACGCAGUAAUUCAGGACAAAAUUAGUUGUCAUUUUAUGAAGUUAAAAAAAAAGUACUUUAACAAUUGAUAAUUAAAUACACACAAGAUCAAUUUGUAAGAACUGUAUAUUCCUAUAACAACUCCCUGAUUCCAGCCACCAAAUGUUUAUUAAGCAAACGAAUACACGAGUGUUAGGAAAAUUCUAUACUUCGGAAUUGCAAUCCGUUGCAAACACGCAGUCUGAUUUUGUGUCAUGCCCCCUCGGGGGCAAAUACACUACGUUAUCGUCUGGCAGUUAAAGAUGGCUGAAAGGGUAAAUCCGGUGAGGUGCAUGAUGGGCCAUGUGUCAUUAAGUACCUUAUUACUGUACCAAAGUAAUAAAAAAUACAACGCCACAUAUUUCCUGAUAACCGAAUUCCACGUGUUUGUAAACAUAUAAGGCAGUACUGUAUAUUGGUCAUAGACACAUGCUCCCGCUGGGAACCUAUUUUUACAAAUGUGAACUAGUUGAGGUUAGUAACUUGCAAAUUUAUAGAACUUAAAAAAGAGUGCACGCAGUGUGUCAUAGCAAAAUAUUUGACAGGGGACGAAUUUUACUUGUAUUUUAUGUAAGCGACAAUAAAAAAAUCUUGUAUCUUGUAGGCCUAAAUUCCUAUACGCUAAAUUUAUCUGUUGGUGAAAUAGUUUUAUAGGAAGGUAAAGUUAUGUGCAUGGUUACAAGUGGCGGAUCCAGGAAUUUGAAGUAGAGGGAGGCCAGGGAGGGACUUCGACAGAUGAAGGGUCAACAUCAACUCAGCCCCACCAUGGUUGUGGCUGAGGCAUGAAAAUUUACGAUUAUGUCACCUUCAGAUGGCCGGAAAUGGCACAGACUUAAAAUUUGAAUGUAUAAUUUUCAUUUUUCUCCAAUUUUUUACAAUUUCGAAAAAAAAUAGGGGUGAGAGGGACGACUGAGCCCCCCUUGAAUCCGCCACUGUUUACAAAAUAUGGACUAAGUGUUUACAAAAUCAAGAUGCUUGAGUUAUAUCGGUGGUUAAGAUGCUUCCUUCGAAUCCCAGGGUCGAGGGUUCAAAGCCCGUCACCAAUAAUAUCAAAAGUAAUUUUUGACUUAAUGAGACUCUUAAUGUAGCAAGUGAAGGGAUUGUCACUAUAUUAAUGUGAUUUAAUAUGGUUAUUGUUAGGUAUAUAAUUGGCCUUAUGCCUAAAAUUUUAAUACACAGAAAAUACGAAUAAUACAAAGAUGCAUUUUUGUUUAGGCCUACAUUUUAUAUUCAUUAUUAUAUGCUGGUAAAUCAACAUAAUAACUUUUACAUCGUUUGAUUGAAAAAAAACCCCAAAGUUUUACUUUUCUUUUAAGCAAACAACGUGAUCAAGAUAGACCAGCAAAUAAAUAUUCAUGAUUGACUGCUGGACGAAGAGAACGUCCUUCCUAAAUCUAAAAAUAUUUGGUUUCUAAAAGCGCAUUUUGAAAUAAAAAUGUCAUGGAUUGGGUCAAUUUGUGAUAAGGAUUGGUAGUUUCAACAGUAACCAUAAGUAUGACCGCACAAAGUACAAUAAAUGUUAUAUUUGAAAAA